rnacentral:rRNA from 1 species
UGGCAGCAGGCUUAACACAUGCAAGUCGAACGCCCCGCAAGGGGAGUGGCAGACGGGUGAGUAACGCGUGGGAACAUACCCUUUCCUGCGGAAUAGCUCCGGGAAACUGGAAUUAAUACCGCAUACGCCCUACGGGGGAAAGAUUUAUCGGGGAAGGAUUGGCCCGCGUUGGAUUAGCUAGUUGGUGGGGUAAAGGCCUACCAAGGCGGCGAUCCANAGCUGGUCUGAAAGGAUGAUCAGCCACAUUGGGACUGAGACACGGCCCAAACUCCUACGGGAGGCAGCAGUGGGGAAUAUUGGACAAUGGGCGCAAGCCUGAUCCAGCCAUGCCGCGUGAGUGAUGAAGGCCUUAGGGUUGUAAAACACACAUCACCGAGAAGAUAAGACGGUGUUGGAGAAG